CCUAAGCAUAAGCCUAAGCCUAAGCCUAAGCCUAAGCCUAAGCCUAAGCAUAAGCCUAAGCCUAAGCCUAAGCCUAAGCAUAAGCCUAAGCCUAAGCCUAAGCCUAAGCCUAAGCCUAACAUAAGCCUAAGCCUAAGCCUAAGCCUAAAA
rnacentral:sRNA from 1 species